ensembl:lncRNA
AGAGGGUUAAUGUGGAAAACCAGUAGUGCACACGUGCUCACACUCACUCGUUUUCCCAUAAACAAACAUACAGUGAGAAGUAAUCAAUCCAGUGAUCUAAUGAGAGAGAGAGAGAGAGAGAGAGAGAGAGAGAGUAUACAGGAGGAGGGCAAGAUAGAGAGUGCUCCAAUGAGCUGAAGGCAGAGCUGGAGUAAGACUGUGAAGAAAGACAGCAGGAGGGGAAUGAAGGUGGAGAGAGAGAAAGAGAGAGAGAGAGAGAGGGGUGUACAGUAGCUCCCUUCCUCAGGCAAAUCCUACAGGAGGAGUCCGUCCACGAGAGAGAGAGAGAGAGAGAGACAGAGCACAGGAACGUCAGAGUUGGAAGACAGAAUUGGUCCUGGUCUUUGCACCCUGUGCUCGGAGCAGAUGUCAGCGCUCUCGUAGUGUGUUUUCUUCAGCUGCUGCAAGGCUGAGAGCAGCUGUACGAGCCAGAAGACUGAGAUGCAGAGCAUUGUGGGAACAGCAACCUCAGGAACAUGACCAACCCACAAUUUCUUGUUGUUGGAUAACCAGAAAGUACUCAGGAGAGAGUUCCUGGCAUCUUUAACAACAACGAAAGAAAAACACACACACACACAUACACACACACACACAGGUCAUUUCCAUAGUCUGAGUGUUUAUGCUUGUGUCUGUGUGUGUGAGACCUUCUCAGUCCUACGGGGAGUCCUGGAGUACUGUUACACCAAUAGUCGCCCCUUAUGAAUGUUUCAUCUGCUGGGAGGAGAAAAGAGCCUUCUUUUGUCAUCUAAUACGGCUGUAGGCCACACACGCUGCCUUCAUUUUCACUCACCUCGACAAGAUCGUCCACCCAAACACCAUCAAGUGCUCUUUGCUGGGUAAUUGUGUAGCUAAAACAAGAAGAAAGAGCUCAAUCGAUCGUCAAGAAAGGACUCUUCAAAGAGGAGUAGAUGAUCGACUUUUGACCGAAGUGCCCUGGCAUUAGGCAACUCUUGGAGGACUCAAGAUCAACUUAACACCUCAGUUUCCUCUUGAAUCUUUAACCUCAGACAGUUCCCCGGUUGGCUUCUCACCUUCCCUGGAAGCGGGGAAGUAACUGUAGCAUCUCCAUUUCGCAUCUUACCGGUGAUCACAGAGGC